GAUGAACGCUGGUGGCGUGCCUAAUACAUGCAAGUCGAGCGAACGGACGAGAAGCUUUCUUCUCUGAUGUUAGCGGCGGACGGGUGAGUAACACGUGGCUAACCUACCUAUAAGACUGGGAUAACUUCGGGAAACCGGAGCUCAUACCCGAUCAUAUUUUGAACCGCAUGGUUCAAAAGUGAACGACGGUCUUGCUGUCACUUAUAGAUGGAUCCGCGCUGCAUUAGCUAGUUGGUAAGGUAACGGCUUACCAAGGCAACGAUGCAUAGCCGACCUGAGAGGGUGAACGGCCACACUGGAACUGAGACACGGUCCAGACUCCUACGGGAGGGAACAGUAGGGAAUCUUCCGCAAAGGGCGAAAGCCUGACGGAGCAACGGCGCGUGAGUGAUGAAGGUCUUCGGAUCGUAAAACCCUGUUAUUAGGGAAGAACAGAUGUGUAAGUAACUGUGCACAUCUUGACGGUACCUAAUCAGAAAGCCACGGCUAACUACGUG
rnacentral:rRNA from 1 species